rnacentral:tRNA from 1 species
GCCUUGAUAGCUUAAACAAAGCAUCGGUCUUGUAAGCCGAAGAUCGGGGAUUAGACCUCCCCUCAAGACU